AGCAGCCGCGGUAAUUCCAGCUCCAAUAGCGUAUAUUAAAGUUGUUGCAGUUAAAAAGCUCGUAGUUGAAUUUCGGGGUUAGUAGAUUGGUCAUGCCUCUGGUAUGUACUGGUCUCACUGAUUCCUCCUUCCUGAUGAGCCGUAAUGCCAUUAAUUUGGUGUUGCGAGGAAUCUGGACUGUUACUUUGAAAAAAUUAGAGUGUUUAAAGCAGGCUAACGCUUGAAUACAUUAGCAUGGAAUAAUGAAAUAGGACGUUCGAUCCUAUUUUGUUGGUUUCUAGGAUUGACGUAAUGAUUAAUAGGGAUAGUUGGGGGCAUUAGUAUUCAAUUGUCAGAGGUGAAAUUCUUGGAUUUAUUGAAGACUAACUACUGCGAAAGCAUUUGCCAAGGAUGUUUUCAUUAAUUCAAGAACGAAAGUUAGGGGAUCGAAGACGAUCAGAUACCGUCGUAGUCUUAACCAUAAACUAUGCCGACUAGGAUCGGANGAUGUUUAAUUUUUAAUUGUACUCAUUC
rnacentral:rRNA from 1 species